UCCCUGAUAGCUUAUUUGGUAAAGAAUCUGCCUGCAACGCAGGAGACCCCAGUUCUAUUCCUGGGUCUGGAA
rnacentral:tRNA from 1 species